rnacentral:rRNA from 1 species
GGGGAAUAUUGGACAAUGGGCGCAAGCCUGAUCCAGCAAUGCCGCGUGUGUGAAGAAGGCCUUCGGGUUGUAAAGCACUUUUAUCAGGAGCGAAAUCUGCAUGCUUAAUACGUGUGCAGUCUGACGGUACCUGAGGAAUAAGCGACGGCUAACUACGGGCCAGCAGCCGCGGUAAUACGUAGGUCGCAAGCGUUGUCCGGAUUUACUGGGCGUAAAGAGCGCGCAGGCGGCUGGUCAAGUCCAAUGUGAAAUCUCCCGGCUCAACUGGGAAACUGCAUCGGAAACUGAUCGGCUUGAAGGUGGGAGAGGGUAGUGGAAUUCCCGGUGUAGUGGUGAAAUGCGUAGAUAUCGGGAGGAACACCAGUGGCGAAGGCGACUACCUGGCCCAUUCUUGACGCUGAGGCGCGAAAGCUAGGGGAGCGAA